rnacentral:rRNA from 1 species
UACCAGACUCCUACGGGAGGCAGCAGUGGGGAAUAUUGCACAAUGGGGGAAACCCUGAUGCAGCGACGCCGCGUGAGUGAAGAAGUAAUUCGUUAUGUAAAGCUCUACCAGCAGGGAAGAAAAUGACGGUACCUGACUAAGAAGCCCCGGCUAACUACGUGCCAGCAGCCGCGGUAAUACGUAGGGGGCAAGCGUUAUCCGGAUUUACUGGGUGUAAAGGGAGCGUAGACGGCAGUGCAAGUCUGAAGUGAAAGGCAAGGGCUCAACCCUUGGACUGCUUUGGAAACUGUGCUGCUGGAGUGUCGGAGAGGCAAGUGGAAUUCCUAGUGUAGCGGUGAAAUGCGUAGAUAUUAGGAGGAACACCAGUGGCGAAGGCGGCUUACUGGACUGUAAAUGACGCUGAGGCUCGAAAGCGUGGGGAGCAAACAGGAUUAGAUACCCGAGUAAA